CAAGGUAAAGUUAGUUACAUGUUUAUGAUAUACAUAUCUAUCUGUUUAUUUGACUAACUUGUAUUUGCCUCCCUUGGACCUGUUGGUCGAGCUCCUCCCUUGGGUGGCCGUACCCACUGGGAACCAUGGAGUUGGUUCUCACCCCACGUUGUUUUGGGGUUUUACAGGUUCGCACGUGAGCGGCGCGGCGGCGCGAGGCAAGGGCGUAGCUCCAUAGAUAGCGCCCUACCCCCAGAGACCAGAACUAGCAGUUCCCCGUCGACGUAGCUUAAGAGUAUAGGAAAUGAAAGCAAGCAAAUGUAUUUACCUUGUAAUAAAU
rnacentral:lncRNA from 1 species